rnacentral:rRNA from 1 species
AACGAACGCUGGCGGCAUGCCUAACACAUGCAAGUCGAACGAGACCUUCGGGUCUAGCGGCGCACGGGUGCGUAACGCGGGGGAACCUGCCCUUAGGUUCGGAAUAACUCAGAGAAAUUUGAGCUAAUACCGGAUGAUGUCUUCGGACCAAAGAUUUAUGGCCUUGAGAUGGGCCCGGGUUGGAUUAGGUAGUUGGUGGGGUAAAGGCCUACCAAGGCGACGAUCCAUAGCUGGUCUGAGAGGAUGCUCAGCCACACUGGGACUGAGACACGGCCCAGACUCCUACGGGAGGCAGCAGUGGGGAAUAUUGGACGAGGGGCGAAAGUCUGAUCCAGCCAUGCCGGGUGAGUGAUGCAGGCCUUAGGGUUGUAAAGCUCUUUUAGCCGAGAUGAUAAUGACAGUAUCGGGAGAAUAAGCACCGGCUAACUACGUG